UUGGAGGGCAAGUCUGGUGCCAGCAGCCGCGGUAAUUCCACCUCCAAUAGCGUAUAUUAAAGUUGUUGCAGUUAAAAAGCUCGUAGUUGAACUUCGGGGUCUACCCAUUGGUCAGGCUUAAUUGUCUGUACUGGUGAGAUGGAUCUCUACCUUCUGAGGAACUUUCAUGCCAUUUAUUUGGUGUGGUUGGAAAUCAGGACUGUUACUUUGAAAAAAUUAGAGUGUUUAAAGCAGACUAUCGUCUGAAUACAUUAGCAUGGAAUAAUGAAAUAGGACGGACUGAUUCUAUUUCGUUGGUUUCUAGGAUCACCGUAAUGAUUAAUAGGGAUAGUUGGGGGCAUUAGUAUUCAAUUGUCAGAGGUGAAAUUCUUGGAUUUAUUGAAGACUAACUACUGCGAAAGCAUUUGCCAAGGAUGUUUUCAUUAAUCAAGAACGAAAGUUAGGGGAUCGAAGACGAUCAGAUACCGUCGUAGUCUUAACCAUAAACUAUGCCGACUAGGGAUCGGACGAAGUUAAUUUUAUAAUGACGCGUUCGGCGCCUUACGGGAAAC
rnacentral:rRNA from 1 species